UGAGGAAUAUUGGUCAAUGGGCGGGAGCCUGAACCAGCCAAGUCGCGUGAAGGAAGAAGGAUCUAUGGUUCGUAAACUUCUUUUGCAGGGGAAUAAAGUGCAGGACGUGUCCUGUUUUGUAUGUACCCUGAGAAUAAGGAUCGGCUAACUCCGUGCCAGCAGCCGCGGUAAUACGGAGGAUCCGAGCGUUAUCCGGAUUUAUUGGGUUUAAAGGGCGCGUAGGUGGUUUGAUAAGUCAGCGGUGAAAGUUUGCAGCUUAACUGUAAAAAUGCCGUUGAAACUGUCGGACUUGAGUGUAAAUGAGGUAGGCGGAAUGCGUGGUGUAGCGGUGAAAUGCACAGAUAUCACGCAGAACUCCGAUUGCGAAGGCAGCUUACUAAGCUACAACUGACACUGAAGCACGAAAGCGUGGGGAUCAAACA
rnacentral:rRNA from 1 species